GGCGGACGGGUGAGUAACGCGUAAAGAACUUGCCUCACAGCUAGGGACAACAUUUAGAAAUGAAUGCUAAUACCUGAUAUUAUGAUUUUAAGGCAUCUUAGAAUUAUGAAAGCUAUAAGCACUGUGAGAGAGCUUUGCGUCCCAUUAGCUAGUUGGAGAGGUAACGGCUCACCAAGGCGAUGAUGGGUAGCCGGCCUGAGAGGGUGAACGGCCACAAGGGGACUGAGACACGGCCCUUACUCC
rnacentral:rRNA from 1 species